GGCAGGGCGAGGCUGUCGGAGACCAAGGCCCCUAAUCACGACCAGGCCAGACUGCAGGAAGGCCCGAAGCAUUCGGAGAACGGCGGGGCCACCCCCCCACCACCCAUUUUUCGGGUGAGGGGGAAGGACUAAGGCACGCGAGGCACGAAGCACUUACCCGCUUGAGGGCCGAGGGGCUCCCAGCUGCGGCCCUUGUCGCUCGAGUCCCCUUGGCCUGGGUACGGGCCGGCGCGGAUCCUGGGACGGUGGGGAGGCGCGCAGAGCCCGGCAAGGCCGGGAACAGGAAGGCAAGGGCAGACGAGGAUGCGCUUCCGGGGCUGCGGGAGACCGACAGCCCCGCGCCCAGCCGAGUAGAGUCGGGUUCUCCCCUCGCGAGACAUGUGCCCGCCUCCGUGGCCGGCGGAUUCCGCGCCCACCUCAGCACCACUGUCGGGAGCGAGCAAGACAGGAAAAGAUGUUUAAGAAAGUGUGAAGAAAUUUUUAAAAAAGAGGAAAACGUCAAGAAAGUUGUUUCCGCCCGGUUUCGAACCGGGGACCUUUCGCGUGUGAGGCGAACGUGAUAACCACUACACUACGGAAACUGGAUGAAAAGGCCUUGCUGAAGUCUUCUAUUCCACUUUCGCAGUUACAUCAAGCUCCUUCUUCCAAAAUGGACAGGCAAGGCUGGUGGCGAGUGUUUCUCUGGCUGCGCUUUGCGCAGCGCCACCAUGUGGUUAGACGGAGGAUUUUUCUCCUGCGAUAGAGCAGUGACCCCAGCUCCCGUCACUGGGGACGCCUUCUGAGCUCUGAGAACUUUCAGGCAAACACCCUUGGACAGGAUUUCUUGCUCUACUGAAGUCAUACGGAGUUAGAGGAGAAAAGGAAAACCAUACUACAUAGAUCGAGCCAGCCAGGAGUCGAACCUGGAAUCUUCUGAUCCGUAGUCAGACGCGUUAUCCAUUGCGCCACUGGCCCAGCAGAGUACAGAUCGAAUCAGGAAAAGAAGGCAAAGCCACCCAGUUUAAACUACAAGCAACAGCAUGAUCUCUCUAUUCUCUUUCCUGAGGAAAUCCAAAAUAGAUGCACUUUCUAAUCUGCAGGCAAUGUUUUUAGAAAGAUUAGUCUGGAAUGAUAGAUAAAUGUGUUGAGAAGUUUGCGGCAUCUCUGACAAUUCAUAGCAAUGACUAAA